GUGUCAGCCGCCGCGGUAAUACGGAGGGUGCAAACGUUGCUCGGAAUUAUUGGGCGUAAAGCGCGCGUAGGCGGCCGCAUAAGUCUGAUGUGAAAGCCCAGGGCUCAACCCUGGAAAGCCAUUGGAAACUGUGCGGCUUGAGAACAGGAGGGGUAGGUGGAAUUCCUGGUGUAGGAGUGAAAUCCGUAGAGAUCAGGAGGAACACCGGUGGCGAAGGCGACCUACUGGACUGGAUCUGACGCUGCGGCGCGAAAGCGUGGGGAGCAAACAGGAUUAGAUACCCUGGUAGUCCACGCUGUAAACGAUGUUCACUAGCUGCUUGUUGCCUCAGUGCGACAGGUGGCGAAGCCAACGCAUUAAGUGAACCGCCUGGGGAGUACGGCCGCAAGGUUAAAACUCAAAGGAAUUGAUGGGG
rnacentral:rRNA from 1 species